rnacentral:tRNA from 1 species
GGGCAUGUAGCUCAGUGGUUAGAGCAAACGGCUUAUAACCGUUAGGUCGAUGGUUCAAGUCCAUCCAUGCCCA